AUUGAACGCUGGCGGCAUGCCUUACACAUGCAAGUCGAACGGUAACAGGUCUUCGGGUGCUGACGAGUGGCGAACGGGUGAGUAAUACAUCGGAACGUGCCUAGUAGUGGGGGAUAACUACUCGAAAGAGUGGCUAAUACCGCAUGAGAUCUACGGAUGAAAGCAGGGGAUCGCAAGACCUUGUGCUACUAGAGCGGCCGAGGGCAGAUUAGGUAGUUGGUGGGAUAAAAGCUUACGAAGCCGACGAUCUGUAGCUGGUCUGAGAGGACGAUCAGACAGAUUGGGACUGAGCAAGGGCACAGAGUCCUACGGGAGGCAGCAGUGGGGAAUUUUGGACAAUGGGCGAAAGCCUGGUCCAGCAAUGCCGCGUGCAGGAUGAAGGCCUUCGGGUUGUAAACUGCUUUUGUACGGAACGAAAAGCCCCGGGUUAAUACCCUGGGGUCAUGACGGUACCGUAAGAAUAAGCACCGGCUAACUACGUGCCAGCCGCCGCCGUAA
rnacentral:rRNA from 1 species